rnacentral:tRNA from 1 species
GAUUUUAUAGUUGAAUACAACAUUGAUUUUUCAGGUCAACGGUCUUGGUUUAAGUCCAGGUAAAAAUG